CGGGGCGUAGCGCAGUUUGGUAGCGCACCUGGUUUGGGACCAGGGAGUCGCAGGUUCAAAUCCUGUCGCCCCGACCA
rnacentral:tRNA from 1 species